rnacentral:rRNA from 1 species
UACGGGGGGGGCAAGCGUUGUUCGGAAUUACUGGGCGUAAAGCGCGCGUAGGCGGCUUUUCAAGUCGGGCGUGAAAGCCCCGGGCUUAACCCGGGAAUGGCCGGCUCGAUACUGUUGAGCUAGAGUGUGGAAGGGGCUACUGGAAUUCCGUGUGUAGCGGUGAAAUGCGUAGAUAUCGAGAGGAACACCAGUGGCGAAGGCGAGUCCCUGGACAACACCUGACACUGAGGCACGAAAGCUAGGGGAGCAAACAGG